rnacentral:rRNA from 1 species
AUGACGGAGUCCAUCCGGGAGCUGCGCGGGUGGCUCAUGGUGCUGGCCACCGUCAUCGCCUCCAUCACCUACGCCUCCGGCCUCAGCCCGCCGGGCGGCUUCGAGAGGGUCAAGACGCCGAUGCUCGACGACCCCAAGAGGCCGCCGGCCGCCUCCGGGACGCAGAUGCUCCCCUCCCUCUACCUCGCGAGCCCGGCGAGGUGCAGGGUCUUCUGCUACGCCAACACCGCCGCCUUGGCGCUCUCGCUCUCCCUCAUCCUGCUGCUGGGCAGCCAGGACCUGCGCCGCCUGGCCAGGGUCAAGGCCCUCGAGAUCCUCGUCGCGCUCGACGUCGUGGCGCUGCUGGUCGCCUACCUCGCCGGCGCCGGCUCGUUCGGCGACCUGCAGCUCGUGGUCUGCGCCGGGGUCGUCCUCGUCGUGCCGCUGGCCCUCGUAGCCAUGUCGUCGCGCCUGUGCGGGAACUACUUCUGGGAUGAACUCUGA